AUACUUACCUGGUGCCGGGCUGUUCGGUGGUCAAUAUGGCCGGCGCCCCAAGUGGAGGCCGGUCAUUGCACUUCGAUCGGCUGAAGCUUGCCCCUACUCCAAACUGGGGUAGGUGGGGUAUAUAAUUUUUGGUAGUGGGUCAGGCGUUCGCGCCGGCCCCUU
rnacentral:snRNA from 1 species